rnacentral:rRNA from 1 species
CUUCCGUAGGGNUAACCUUGCGGAAGGAUCAUUACCGAGUGAGGGCCCUCUGGGUCCAACCUCCCACCCGUGUUUAUUUUACCUUGUUGCUUCGGCGGGCCCGCCUUAACUGGCCGCCGGGGGGCUUACGCCCCCGGGCCCGCGCCCGCCGAAGACACCCUCGAACUCUGUCUGAAGAUUGUAGUCUGAGUGAAAAUAUAAAUUAUUUAAAACUUUCAACAACGGAUCUCUUGGUUCCGGCAUCGAUGAAGAACGCAGCGAAAUGCGAUACGUAAUGUGAAUUGCAAAUUCAGUGAAUCAUCGAGUCUUUGAACGCACAUUGCGCCCCCUGGUAUUCCGGGGGGCAUGCCUGUCCGAGCGUCAUUGCUGCCCUCAAGCACGGCUUGUGUGUUGGGCCCCGUCCUCCGAUCCCGGGGGACGGGCCCGAAAGGCAGCGGCGGCACCGCGUCCGGUCCUCGAGCGUAUGGGGCUUUGUCACCCGCUCUGUAGGCCCGGCCGGCGCUUGCCGAUCAACCCAAAUUUUUAUCCAGGUGACCUCGGAUCAGGNAGGANCCCCA